rnacentral:rRNA from 1 species
GACGUAGGAGGCGAGCGUUAUCCGGAUUCACUGGGCGUAAAAGCGCAUGUAGGCGGUUUCGUCAAGUCGUGUGUUAAAGCCCCUGGCUCAACUGGGGGAGGUCAUGCGAGACUGACAGACUUGAGGGCAGUAGAGGCACGUGGAACUCCCGGUGUAGCGGUGGAAUGCGUAGAGAUCAGGAGGAACACCCGUAGCGAAGGCGGUUCUCUGGGACGGUACUGACGCUGAGACGCGGAAGCGUGGGGAGCGAACAGG